GCAAUGUCGCUGUAAUAGGGUCAUGAAUAUUUGAGUACUUUUUGCCAACGCUUACUAUAAAAGCGAGCGCACACCACUUCUGGGUGCGGUCAGGUUUUUUCUCUUCGAAAUGUAAUAAGACAAUUGCUUUCCUGGCCGCCACGUUACUGUGAACUCAAUCUUUAAGUUGCCGAAUGUUGUUUUCACCACAUCAGAAAACACCUCAGAACUCACUUCAGAACUCACCUCAGAAUUCACCCAGAAUUCAUCUUAGAAUUCACUAUAAAUAGUUACAAAAUGUGCGUGAACAAUA
rnacentral:lncRNA from 1 species